CGUAUCUGGCUCUCCUCAUUUCGGGUAAACUUAAUAUGCAUUAGGAAUACCAUACAAGUCAAUGUUUUGUUCAUAAAAUUCUAACAUGAUUGUUUUCUGUGUCAAUGAAACAGUGACAAGCAAUAUGCUUUUUCUAAAAAAUGUAUUUUGAUGAAGCUAUCACAGCAUGAGCAAAUGUCAGACCACAAAGACAAACACAAACAGAAAAUACGACUAGUUAGUGAUAAACCUGGGUUUAGGGUUUAUUGUAGUAAAUAAAACAUUGGUCUUUCCCUUUUAGGAUCUUGCUUCAUCCACUUUCUGCUUCUCAGUGGCCCCAACUCGUUCAGCAUAGGACCAAUUUCAGAUGAAAUCUGGCACCAGGAAAGCACUCCUUGCUUGGCAUAUUUGGCAUGAAAGGGGAAAUAAAGCAUUUUAAACAAAACGCAUUAACAGCCGUCAUGAACGGGACCCCUUGUCUCCCCACAUCAAGCACAACACCUCAAUACCAAGUCAACACAUUGGGCAAGGAUCUGACCCUGCUGUCUUACAAAAAACCUUAUGUUGCUGUUGUAUUGAUAAAAGGCUAGAUUGUGCCUUUGGUGCCUCUCUGCCAUUCUCUGAGCUCAUUAGAGCAAAGUGAGAUAAACAGGGGAGCAAAGACAGGGGCAGGAGCCGGGACAUGUUUCUUUUACUUCCAUAUAGGGCUAAGAUGCUCAGCUCUUGGAGGGAGCUGAGGAGACCAGGUGUACAAAGAUCACGAUAGAUGGGAUCCCAAGCAGUUCAUAUCUUGUAGCAUACUGCAGCAUAUCCUAUCACAUCACUGCAUCGUUUACCCGUUCUGCUAAUUCACAGAAGACAACGUGCACAAAUCUUCUUUGAGACAUGCACUUCUCCCUGAACCUUCACAAAGGACCUCAUAAAAUUUAUUCCUCAGUAUUUGUUUCAAUGAGGCAAUAAUGAAGUAACCCAAACAUUACCCUGCACGUUACAGAAAGACGCAAUGCACAGUACCUUCAGCACUAGGACAUGUGCACUCAACAUGGCACCGGGGGACUGGGUGCUCAGUGAAACAACACAGCCAGGUGCUCAGGAGCUCUUUUGUACCAUGACUGUGAUAAAUUCUGAGGGCAUAUCUAACAAAGUGUAAAGGAAGCACUAAAAUUUAAAAAGACAGAUAAAAAAAACUCCAACAUAUCUGUCUGAAAUAAUUUACCUGUCAUUACGGAGAGCAUCUAAAGAGAAAAACAAAACUAAGAAGGGACACAAUAAAUGAGAAACAAAGGAAGAAAGUAAGAGGAAAAAAAAAGAAAAAAAGAAGAAAAAAAGAAAAAAGGAAAAGAAAAAAAAAAAAGCCCACAAUUACACUCUAUUGCUGUCCUGGUUUGUUUGUUUUGAUCACCGGAUAAUGCUUGGUUGCUCUCAUGAUGCUGCUGUCCUGGAUAAUCAAUUGCCUUUGUUACUUCUAUGAGUCUUUCAUGUUGAACAGUAAAAAGAUGAUACUAGGGAGGGGGGAAAUAUUUUUAAAUUUGGAGAAAAAAUGAAAUUAAAAAUAAGGUGAUUGCAACAUUCUGAAAAUUAGCUCGGCUUUGCAAUCUGUUUGUGCAUUCCCAGCACCUGAGGUCCUUUUAUGAGGCCUUAUUGCAUACCUUUUUAUAAACAAAAUUUUGGACAAAUCUGGCUGUUCUAUCCACUCACAAAAUCAACAGAUACCACAGAGUGGAAUCCAAAGCUUUCAAUUCAGUUUUACCUGAAAGUGUGGAUCAGAAACAUUUUCCUGUUCUCGGGAUUUAAAUGUAGUCAAAUGAUGUUUUAGGUUUUCUACUCUGGGAUGAGUUUAAUGUUAGUAGUGAAACCCCAACCUCGAUGUAAAUCGGGCAUUCCAACCCCACAUUGUGGCAGGAGUUAAAAUACUUAAAGCUAGUUUAAAUAGCUGUUCACAUAUGUAGUGUUAGUGUUAAAUAGUGUUCACAUAUACUUGAGAGAUGCUUUGAAUCAGAGUAAGUGUGAAGACACGGAAGGUGUUCCCACUUUGCACGGCAUCGUGCCCUGUGGUUCUCAGCCUACAGUUAGUUCAAGUAUACAGAAAAACUGGUCUGUGGGUAGGAAGGGCCAGCAAUAAUCCAUGAUGGAGAAAAUCUUCAGAGUCCACUUGGACGUAUUCAACAAUGGCCAACAAGUCCACAUGUGAUGAACGUAGGGAUGCUCUAAGUCAGUAUUGCCUCAGUGAAGAUGUAACAAUUCAUGCAAACUGAUGGGCAGUGUUCUUGUUUGAAAAUUUAAUUUUAUAGAUGUUGUAAAAUUCUAUAUAUAAAAUUUCCAAUGCAUGGCAUACAUUAAGAGGUUUUAAAUUCGUUUUGUGUUUAUUCUAUCAUGCAGCCCAUUGUUUUACAUUCUUCAGGGGUUACUAAAUCUGCAGGAAAGGUGACAUAAACCAAUGUAGAAAAAAUAUUUUGGCUACAAAUCUUACUUUUCCUCUGAACAUUUUACCAGCCCACCACACUGCUUUGCAUGACUGUUGCUCACUACCUCCAAGCCCCGCUUUGGAAGUUUUAGUCUUUUCAAACGGUGUUUUUGCAGAGCCUGCAGCCCUUAAUCUCACGUUUCACCUUCUGAGGACACAGAUACACUCCGAAUUGAGCCACAGCUCUGCAGGGAUUUGUGAACUCAUGUUUUAUCCUGAUUAAUAAAUAUUUUGGACCAAAAAAUCCCACCCUGGUGAUGAAAAGGCAGAACUCCUUUCAGGAAUAUUUUCUUUCUUUCUUUCUUUCUUUUUUCUUUUCUUUUCUUUCUUUCUUUCUUUCUUUCUUUUUUUUUUUUUUUUUUUGACAUUUCUUCAGCAAGAAAGCUCUGAUUUAAAAAAGUUAUUAUUCCAGUGCUGCUCAGGUUCAGUGAACGCUUAUAUUGGGUUCGGUAGUACUUUGAUAUGGAAAUUGUAAAGGAAUGGCUUGUUUAAAGGAAACUGCACGCAUGCCUUUAAGUUACCUCACCUUUAAAAGGAUAAAUAUUUGGAAAGUUUCCCAUCCCCAUCUCCACAGCAGCAAUAUAUAAUUAGCAGCUCUCAGCUAUAAACUCUUUUCUGGGACAGAAGUACACACAAAGUGAUCGUCUGCUUAAAGAAACAAAUGAACCCAAGGAAAUAAGAGGUUCACUGAGAGGGGGCUUCAGAUUUAGGGGCUCUGGUUCUGCUACAAUCAGAUGUUGUAAAAAUUGACGCAACCGAGACAAAUACCCUAGGGCUAAAAAAUCCCCUGACCACAGAAAUAAGGCCGAUCACCCUGUUAAACUUCACAUUCUCACCAAAACUCUGCAGAUUUCACUCAAAAUAUUUUAAUUGAAUGUUGCUUAGAAUGACAAAAAAAAAGAAAAAAAAAAAAAGAUGGGGAAAUGUGUGCACAUCUAUUGACAGCAGUAGAAAAUACAGAAGGUUUUACAGGAAAAAAACAAUCAAUACAUAAGUUACAUAAAAAAACAAACCUUGUUGCCAUCUUACUUUGCUCUGCAAAAUGAGCAGCUGAUCCCUUUCAGGCCUUGGGUGAGCAGCAGGCACAUGGGCACCUAAGGAAGGAAGAGUUGUAUCUGAUUUAGUGGUGUCCCGAGCAGCAGCACCAAGCUACAUUCUGUUAACAAAAAUACAUGUUCUCUAACUAGAAAAGUGCAAGUUUUCUUCUGGAGGCAACAAUGUCACUACAAGUGUUCAGGUAAAAAUAAAACCGUGUAAAAAUGCUUUACCCAAUAAAUCAGUGCUGAAUAUGAGACAUAGCCAUGACUCUCCGACAUCGAGUCAGGAUUUUCUAGACGUACCCUUUGAAAUAGAGCAAGGCAAUUUUUUUUAAAAUAUAGAAGUAAAUCAAUCCAUUUUCAACCCCUUUCCUCAAAUGUAUGGAAUAUUUUGGAGUUCAACUCUUCAUUCAGGGGCACUGACCAUAACCAUAACCAUAACCACAACCAUAACCAUAAACCCACAUGAAGUGGCUCUUUUUUCUGCAAAACUCUUAAAACCCUACAAAGUAAGCUGAGUUCUCUCUGUGACCAAAAAGGAGCCACACAGUGCCACGGUCUCACCACCAGAAUGUGGCCGAGGAGCCAUCAAGGGGUUCCCAACCCCACUGCUGCUGCCCCUUGACUUUGUCAUGGCUCGUCCCCAAGCACGUAGUGACCGUGGAAACAUAUAACUGCGCUACAGACAUACAAAGCACCCCUCAUCUCUCCCGUGGGGCUCAGGUUAGGGCUUAAAUUCACAUUUUUGUGUCGUUUUCCCACCAUGGUGCUACACUUAAAAUCUAUUUCUUAAAAUAAAACUUGGGAUUCUCAAACAAGAAGCCUUAUAGCCCAAUUGUUUUGUAGGAGUCACCAACAUGGAGCCUUCAGACCCUGGUAGGGCUCCCCCAAAACCGUCACCACCAGCUCCUAUUCCAGGGCAGGGGUCCGUAGCAUAAUCUCCCUAUGAACUGCUCUUGUGCUGAGCAGCACAGUGAGAAAAACGUGACAAAAUGUGUAAUUCCAGAGUCCUUCGGCCCCUCUAAAUCACAGCUUUGCCCCCCAUACACUCCCUUUCUUUUCCAUAAUCGUGCAGAUGGCAUUAAGGUAAAUGGUGACUGGUUUAAUGGCAGUUUAAUAUUCUGCACAUACACAUAGCAGACAUUUUAGCUGCUUUUAAUUGAUGUAGCUGCGAGCUUUGUUAAGCUCUCCAGGAGAGUG
ensembl:lncRNA